rnacentral:misc_RNA from 1 species
GAAAUGCGAUAAGUAGUGUGAAUUGCAGAAUUCAGUGAAUCAUCGAAUCUUUGAACGCACAUUGCGCCCCUUGGUAUUCCAUGGGGCAUGCCUGUUCGAGCGUCAUUUGUACCCUCAAGCUCUGCUUGGUGUUGGGUGUUUGUCCCCGUCUCCGUGCGUGGACUCGCCCCAAAGUGAUUGGCAGCCGGCGUACUGGUCCCGGAGCGCAGCACAUGUCGCGCAAACGAGUGCCUUGGUACGGCGGCGUCCAUAAGCCCCUCUCUCACGCUCUUGACCUCGGAUCAGGUAGGGAUACCCGCUGAACUUAAGC